AUUGAACGCUGGCGGCAGGCCUAACACAUGCAAGUCGAGCGGAUGAGAGGAGCUUGCUCCUUGAUUCAGCGGCGGACGGGUGAGUAAUGCCUAGGAAUCUGCCUGGUAGUGGGGGACAACGUUUCGAAAGGAACGCUAAUACCGCAUACGUCCUACGGGAGAAAGCAGGGGACCUUCGGGCCUUGCGCUAUCAGAUGAGCCUAGGUCGGAUUAGCUAGUAGGUGGGGUAAUGGCCCACCUAGGCGACGAUCCGUAACUGGUCUGAGAGGAUGAUCAGUCACACUGGAACUGAGACACGGUCCAGACUCCUACGGGAGGCAGCAGUGGGGAAUAUUGGACAAUGGGCGAAAGCCUGAUCCAGCCAUGCCGCGUGUGUGAAGAAGGUCUUCGGAUUGUAAAGCACUUUAAGUUGGGAAGAAGGGCAGUAAGUUAAUACCUUGCUGUUUUGACGUUACCGACAGAAUAAGCACCGGCUAACUCUGUGCCAGCCGCCGCGGUAAAAC
rnacentral:rRNA from 1 species